AACUUUCGACAAUGGAUCACUCGGCUCUCGCGUCGAUGAAGAGCGUGGCAAACUGCGAAAAGUAAUGCGACAUGCAACCAUCGUGAACCAUCGAGUCCUUGAACGCACCUUGCACCGGCCGCGGCAACGCGACCGGUCUGCCUGGGUGAGCAUCGAUCUACUCUCUACUUCGUGCAUGCGCGCAGUGAUGCUGUGCAUGCGCGGUACUGGGCCUGCACCACCUUCAAGCGUGUAAUGCGCGCUGUGCUCGCCUUAAAUGCUCGAGACUCUGCGCCGCUGCUACAUGCUGCAUACCUCUAAGCACUGUCCGGAAUGGUGCGCGCUUUCUGCGUGCUGUUGCGAUGCAGCGGUGUUUUCCAUGGGGCAGCAUAUGCGCACGUGCGCACACACACACAAGACACCUCAUAUGCGAUCUCACCUCAGGCAGGACUACCCGCUGAACUUAAGCAUAUCAAUAAGCGGAGGCU
rnacentral:misc_RNA from 1 species